rnacentral:rRNA from 1 species
UACGGGGGUGGCAAGCGUUGUUCGGAAUUACUGGGCGUAAAGGGCGCGUAGGCGGCCGGGGAGGUCGCAUGUGAAAGCCGGGGGCUUAACCUCCGAAGGGCAUGCGAAACCGCCCGGCUUGAGUGUCGGAGGGGAAGGCGGAAUUCCGGGUGUAGCGGUGAAAUGCGUAGAUAUCCGGAGGAACACCGGUGGCGAAGGCGGCCUUCUGGACGACGACUGACGCUGAGGCGCGAAAGCCAGGGGAGCAAACGGG